CUCACCUCUCCCUCUCCACCACCUCUCCUUGUACAGAAACUAGACCCAGUAGUAGAGGCGUUGGACAGAGGGGAACCAGUGGACCUCAGCUCUCUACCUCCCCCUCCAGGAGAUGCAGUGGUAGAGCGUUCAGCUCCUCCCCAGUCUUCCUCCAGGCCCUCCCCUGCAGCUCCCCCUGCAGCUCCCCCGGUGGCCGACUCCGCCCUCCCAGCCCCAGGCAGUGUAGGGGAAGCGUUACAGCAGAGGAUGGACAGAUACAAAGCUGCAGCAGAGGGGGCCAAGAGCAAAGGAGACGACCGCAAGGCACGCAUGCACCA